rnacentral:rRNA from 1 species
UCGGGAAUUUUGCCCAAUGGACGAAAGUCUGAGGCAGCAACUCCGCGUGAGGGAUGAAGUCCUUCGGGUCGUAAACCUCUUUUCUCAGGUAAGAUUCAAGACGGUACCUGAGGAAUAAGCCACGGCUAACUACGUGCCAGCAGCCGCGGUAAUACGUAGGUGGCAAGCGUUGUCCGGAUUUACUGGGCGUAAAGAGCGCGCAGGCGGCUGGGCAAGUCCGAUGUGAAAGCUUCCGGCUUAACUGGAAAAUUGCAUCGGAAACUGCUCGGCUUGAAGGUGGGAGAGGGUAGCGGAAUUCCCGGUGUAGUGGUGAAAUGCGUAGAUAUCGGGAGGAACACCAGUGGCGAAGGCGGCUACCUGGCCCAUUCUUGACGCUGAGGCGCGAAAGCUAGGGGAGCAAACGGG